GACAGAGGGUGCGAGCGUUGUUCGGAAUCAUUGGGCGUAAAGGGCGCGUAGGCGGUUUUGCAAGUCGGAUGUGAAAGCCCAGAGCUCAACUUUGGAAGUGCAUCCGAAACUGCUUAACUAGAGUCUCGGAGAGGGUGGUGGAAUUCCCAGUGUAGAGGUGAAAUUCGUAGAUAUUGGGAGGAACACCGGUGGCGAAGGCGACCGCCUGGACGAUGACUGACGCUGAGGCGCGAGAGCGUGGGGAGCAAACAGG
rnacentral:rRNA from 1 species